CUACGGGUCGCAGCAGUGGGGAAUAUUGGACAAUGGGGGAAACCCUGAUCCAGCAAUGCCGCGUGUGUGAAGAAGGCCUGCGGGUUGUAAAGCACUUUCGGUUGGGAGGACUGCUUCUAGCACUAAUAUUGUUGGAAGUUGACGUUACCUUCAGAAGAAGCACCGGCUAACUCCGUGCCAGCAGCCGCGGUACUACGGAGGGUGCAAGCGUUAAUCGGAAUUACUGGGCGUAAAGCGCGCGUAGGCGGCUAGAUCAGUCGGGUGUGAAAGCCCCGGGCUUAACCUGGGAACUGCAUCCGAUACUGUCUAGCUUGAGUACAGGAGAGGAGAGUGGAAUUCCGCAUGUAGCGGUGAAAUGCGUAGAUAUGUGGAGGAACACCAAUGGCGAAGGCAGCUCUCUGGCCUGAUACUGACGCUGAGGUGCGAAAGCGUGGGGAGCAAACAGGAUUAGAUACCCGAGUAGUC
rnacentral:rRNA from 1 species